CCAGGCACCGAGGCAGGUCCCUGAGGCAGCCACCGCGACUUCUGGCGGCUAGAGCAUCAGGGCGAGCGCUCUGCCUUACCGCUCCCCGCAGAAGUCAGGCUCUGUCUCACCUCUGCCUUCCAGGGUUCUUGCAUUUGGCUACUCCGCUGUGGUUUUUCCUCAGGUCGCGAUGGAUCUUGAAGAAGGCCGAAACAAAGGAACGGGGAAGAAGAACUUCUUAAAAAGGGACCAAAAAAGUAAAAAUGAUAAGAAAGAAAAGAAACCAGCUGUCAGUGUUUUGGCCAUGGUGAGUUUGAAUGUAUUCCCUCUUCACAGUGUUUUGGAAAUUUGGCUUCUCCUGAUCUAGAAAAGAGGUACUUCACCUGGUACCACAUAUUCUUGGGGAGUAUGUUAAUGGAGAGGUAAAAUGAAUUUGUUUACUUUAGCUUGCUUUCAGGGGAAUGCCCAUCAUAACUUGCCAUGUGCUUUGGGGCCCCACAGCCACCCUUCUUGGCCUAGAUUUCAGUAUUCUCUGAAUGAGUAAGGUGAUCUGUUACCUGGGCAGGCACUUCUGCCAGCGAUGGUCUCAGCCAUGUGGAUAGAGGACGUCAGCCACAUGGAGGUCUGUUCAGGGAAACACAGGGUACCCUGUCAUCAGUGGCUCUAAUCCUGGCAGGUUUGAGGUCAAAGUCCCAGGCACUCAUAUAAUAGAAGUUAACAAUGAAUUAUUUAUUACUAUGACUUGGUACAUGUCAUUGUUCUUCUAUGCUGGAAUAUGAAAACUUUAAUAUGAUUAAUUCUUUAUCUCGUUUUCUGGUUUUUGUUUUGUAUUUUUAUUUUUGUAUUCUCUGAAGAGAAAAUAGGUAGCCAUGUGGUUUUUUUGUUUGUUUUGGGGAAUUUUUUUUUUUUUUCUUUUCAGGGCCAUAGCUGUGGCAUAUGGAAGUUCCCAAGCUCAGGGUCAGUCAGAGCUGCAGCUCCCAGCCCAUACCACGGCUAUAGCAACAUGGGAUCUGAGCCUGUGUCUAUGACCUAUAUCAUAGGUCAUGGCAAUGCCAGGUCCUUUACCCACUGAAAGAGGCCAGGUAUUAAACCCACAUCCUCAUGGAUACCUGUCAGGUUCGUAACCCGCUAAGCCACAAUGGGAACUCCCAUGCCCACUGCAUUUCUUAAAGCCUGGAAGUUGAGUCUAAAGGUUUUACAACAUUCAUGUUAAAAUAUUUUUGGUAAGGAAUGUACAUGGGGGAUGCUGUGUACUUCAUGAACCAUCACAUCAGGAACCAUCACAUGUUAAGGUGUUGUACUUUUUUUGGUACUAAGUUUGAUCACUUGGCGAGGGUGAGGCUAGAUUGGGUCCUCCCUCUGUGGUA
rnacentral:lncRNA from 1 species